UUAAGUUCAGCGGGUAUCCCUACCUGAUCCGAGGUCAAAGUAAAAAAGAGGCUUAAUGGAAGGGGAUAUGUUAGAAUCGUUUGCAAUGUGCUGCGCACGAAGCCAAUAUACCGGCUGCCAAUGAAUUUAAGGUGAGUCCACGCACAGAGGCGGAACAAACACCCAACACCAAGCAGAGCUUGAAGGUUUAAAUGACGCUC
rnacentral:misc_RNA from 1 species